rnacentral:tRNA from 1 species
GCGGGUGUGGCGGAACUGGUAGACGCGCUAUCUUGAGGGGGUAGUGCCCGUCAGGGCGUGUGGGUUCGAGUCCCACCACCCGCACCA